UAGAGUUUGAUCCUGGCUCAGAUUGAACGCUGGCGGCAGGCCUAACACAUGCAAGUCGAGCGGUAACACAGAGGAGCUUGCUCCUUGGGUGACGAGCGGCGGACGGGUGAGUAAUGCCUGGGGAUCUGCCCGAUAGAGGGGGAUAACUACGGGAAACUGUAGCUAAUACCGCAUAAUGUCUACGGACCAAAGUGGGGGCUCUUCGGACCUCAUGCUAUCGGAUGAACCCAGGUGGGAUUAGCUAGUUGGUGAGGUAAUGGCUCACCAAGGCGACGAUCUCUAACUGGUUUGAGAGAAUGACCAGUCACACUGGAACUGAGACACGGUCCAGACUCCUACGGGAGGCAGCAGUGGGGAAUAUUGCACAAUGGGCGCAAGCCUGAUGCAGCCAUGCCGCGUGUGUGAAGAAGGCCUUCGGGUUGUAAAGCACUUUCAGCGGGGAGGAAGGGUCACUAGUUAAUACCUAGUGGCAUUGACGUUACUCGCAGAAGAAGCACCGGCUAACUCCGUGCCAGCAGCCGCGGUAAUACGGAGGGUGCAAGCGUUAAUCGGAAUUACUGGGCGUAAAGCGCACGCAGGCGGUUUGUUAAGUCAGAUGUGAAAUCCCCGAGCUCAACUUGGGAACUGCAUUUGAAACUGGCAAGCUAGAGUCUUGUAGAGGGGGGUAGAAUUCCAGGUGUAGCGGUGAAAUGCGUAGAGAUCUGGAGGAAUACCGGUGGCGAAGGCGGCCCCCUGGACAAAGACUGACGCUCAGGUGCGAAAGCGUGGGGAGCAAACAGGAUUAGAUCCCCUGGUAGUCCACGCUGUAAACG
rnacentral:rRNA from 1 species